CAUUCCAAAAUAAGUGUUACCAAUCAAAUCCCAGUGAUGAUAUUGUUCCUUCGUUUUUCCACAUGACUAGAUUGAAUUACUACUCAAGUAGCAGCAGAAAACACUUGCCCAAUAAAUAAGAAAAAGAGUAACCAUCUUGACUUUGAAUAGCUGGAACAACUCAAACCCGAGGCUGGUCAAGGCAGAGUUUUUCAAUAAAAUAGAGUUGGUUUUGGUUAGGGCUAUUUAAAAAAUUCAAGAAUUAAAUCGAAUCGUCGAAUUGAAUCACUGAACCGUUAUGUUUGAUUUAGUGAACCAAACCAUUAUGCUCCAAUCUGGAAACAAGUGACGUUAAUGAAAAUUCUUUCACUUCUUUUCUUUUUUACUUCACUUUUUUAAAGUCUAUUUCAUACCGAUUUCUUUCCUCUUUAUGAUGUACUAUUGAGACUGAUUAUGCAAUAUUGGUGCACCCAAUGUCUUGUUCUUAACCUCUCUAUAUGGUUUCGCUACAAAAAAGUUGAUUUUCUGAUUUUUGAGGUUUAAUGCAUGGGGGCUUCAUUUGUCGUGACUGCAUCUCCUUAUCAUUUGAUCGAAACAAAUUCCGAUGAUACUGAUCAGUCAGACACGAAUGCUCAACGUGACUAGUAGGAUCCUUCUUCUUUGAAGUUCUAUCACCAGUGUCAUUGUCAUUAGUUCUGAAUUGUUGCUGUUCACUUUUUAUUAGUCAAAAUUUUCAAAUUUUAUCUUUUUUUCUAACUGGAUUCGCAAUUUGACAGUUUUUCAAGGCCUUUCUAGUGUUCUACAUUCAAUGGACCAGGGUUUGAUAUGUUGUUCAAAUUGUGAUUUAGAAACAAUGACAGAGGCUCCUUAUCAUUGUUACUACAUUCUGCAGCCAUCAGAUAAUGGACCAAUGCUUAUGAGGCGCCUUGCAGGGGCAGAAGAAGUCAAACAAGCUCACGACAACCGUUUAAUUGAUCCAUCGGUCAAUAAGGAUGUAGAGAACUCUGUUCAAGCCUGUUUGCUAAAGGUUUCUUCAAUGUUUUGGGAGCUCUGCAUAUCUGAAUUUAUCUGAGAAAAUAUUGCUUGUUCACUGUUGAGGAUUGAAGAAAGGUUGACUUGGCUGAACUCCAAAUAUGGUCAAGAUGUUUAGUAAAUAGAAAUGUGAGAUACUCUAAAAUAGGAGAUAGUUUAUCAACAGAAUAAACUAUAACAAAACGUGAAGAGCCCAAGACGACAGAACUAUGGCCUGUAUUACAGAAGAAUGGAGGCAAUUGGUGGUAAGUGAAGAGCCCAAGUUGCACUCUCCAUCUUGCAUGCCUAAAGCCAAGUUGGAUCAAUCAAGUAUAGCACCGCGAAAUGGUAAUAGACAGCUAGACAAGGAAACUUCAAGAAUUUUGGAGAGAUUGGAGGUUCCAAGGCCAUUGAAAGGAAAGAAGGCCUCUCCCGUUUCAAAUGAAAGUUGUAUGAAAAAUAAAACUGUGCCUACAAAAAAGCCUCUAAUACCAUUCCAGCCAACUCAAAAUACAGAACAAGUCAUUGUCGGAAGCCAGCUAUUGAAACCAAAUUUCCAGAGGCAGAAAAGGAAGCAAAGAUGAAAAGAACGUAACUCGGCGUUACAUGAAAAUAAUUGUUCAAAAGUCUAUAAGGUCAGGACAUUUCUUUUCCCUUUUUUAUCAGCCCGCGAGUUAUUUUGCUGCUAAAAAAGAGCCCACUAGUCAUGAAACAUGUUUUCUAAUGGACCAGAAGCGUUAAAUUGCAUACAUUUUUUUGAGCAGGCUCGAGAUUUCACUUAAUAAAUUCUGUUAAAUUUUUAUAUCUACUUCUCUCCACAGUACUCACAACAUUGUUAUCUAACCACUUGAAAUUCAACACGUCAUGACCCAUUGAACUCUAAUAUCAAUAUGAACAAUAAGGUGCGUAGUACUUUGGUUUUCAUAAUACAUUUUGGAUGAAAACAAACUCAUGAAGAAAACUCUUCAAUUCACCUAUAACAACUCCGUGUUAGUUUUAAUUUGAACAAUAAACUUUGCCUUUGUAGUAGGGCAAAAAGCUUCGCAAUUCUGACUACCGCAUCUUAGUUCCCCUUCACGCAUGUAAUAUAAAAAAAGAAGUAAAUAUGUGACAGUUGAUAUCUCCCCCUAUUGUCAAACUGUAUACCCAACUAACACAGACUCUAUCAUCAGAGCAAAGUUUCAAGUUACUCUUUCCUUUCACUAUUCAUUUGACAUUGACAUGCAUGAAGCUGGUUAGAGACAGCAUAAAAUUAUUCUAUAACAAUUAAUUCUCUUCAUUUGUCAUGGCAAAUUAUUUCACAUUCAACUUGAAGGGUGCUGCAAGAAGAACCGAACCAUAACCGAACUGGAACUGAACCAUAACCGAAUUGAUCCUCAUACUUUCCAAAAUUACAAAUGAAACCCUCAAAAUAGACAAUGCGAGUCUCAUAUCUGAAUAGAGAUCAUUGGAUAAUGCAAACUUGUGUUUCUCCUCUAUUCAACACAAAAUAUGUCUAAUUGAAGAAUUUUAACAAACAUGGUAUGGGCAGCAUCAAAAGAGCAUUUUGUCAUGGUUUGUUGGUGUUUUCUCAACCACUUUAAUUAGAAAAACAAGUAAACAACACAUUAAUAGAGAGAAUUAACAUGUUGUACCAAUAAUAUGAUGAAACUUAGCAAUUAGAUUUACAAACCCAAAUUUUAGUCUAAAAUAAAACACAUCAAUGUGUUGGAUUACAUGUAAGUGUAUGGAGGAAAAGGGUCAGCUAGAUCUGGACAUAUAGAUUUGUUUCUAGGUCGACGGAGUUAUGGAGGGACACCGGUGGUGUGAUGGUUGUCCCACACUCUCUCUCCACCUGGACAAAUUGUUGGAUAGAUUCCCCAUCAGUUCAGGACCACCACCACCAUUAUCCCAAUCCAAUCCACAACAUCUACCAAACAAUGUUCAUUGUUAUGGGUGGCCCUGCUGUCCCAUGAUAGACUGUCUUUUCCUCACAUGAAGACAAAAAUGGUUCUCAAAUUGAACCACAAAAAACAGAACGCUACACUGGUACACUACUACUUCCUCGGACUUUCUUCCUCAUAUUAAAAUGAAUUCAUAACAAAACAUGAAGCACAUGAAAUUACCAAGAAA